GAUCUGGGAGCAUUCCUUGCAUGAAUAAGCUGAGAAAAGAAGUCACUAAAAGCAGGAGAGAUCAGAGAGUAUGGCCGCACAGAAGAAGGAUCAGGUGAGGACACAAGAAAACUGACACCUGACACCUGAAGAUGCCUCCGGUGAUGCCCAACCCACUCACACCUUGAUCUUGGAUUCUUCAGCCUCAGGACUGUGAGAGAGGCGCUUUCUUCUCUCCAGGCUGUCCAUUGUGUUUGAUUUUCCUUUUGCAUCACCCGCCAAGUGUCUGGGUCCAGAAUCCUCUCUCUGGACAGUAGUGGUAAACGGUCUGUUCCCAGGUUGCCAGAGGCCUCCUCUUGGAGACCAGCUCCCAAGGGUGGAGCAUGAAGCUCAGGUGCCUGCACUAGGAAGAGAGGAACGUGGGGCAUAGAUGUUUGCAGAGCAACUUGACCACAUCUAGCCAAGCUGCCACAGGAAGCUGGUGUCUCUCAUCUUGCUGUAUCUCUAAGAAGACAGUCUCCCUUAGCAGUCUUCUUUCUGGGUUGCCAUGAUGACGCAGAGUCCAGAUCGGGGUGGUUCCAUUAGCCUAUGCAGUAGCCGUGUGCACAUGUGAGUUCACUUUGAGCCCCACGGGUAGUCACGCAACUGAUAUGAGGGCCACGUGUUCAUUUUGCUAAUGUUGGCAGUACGCAAGGCCAAGGGACAAGAGCUGUGUGGACUCAGUGGCAGUCUCCUUUCACGGGGGCCUAAGCAGCAAUGUGAACCCCAAAUGCCUCACCCUGGGAAGCCACAAGUGAUGUUAGGGAAGGCUGGUCCAAAUGGGUGUCUGGAUACGUCCUUUGCAAGAGCAAGGCAGCCAGAGGGGGUUUCAGACGGGGAUGUGGGCUGCCCUAAAUGAGCCGAUCUCCAAUAGGUAAUGGCAGCAGUUAGACUAUACCGUUAUCCCGGUGGCGUUGCCAUGGAAACCCCUUUCUGCCUUUGAGGUCUACCCUCAGCCACUUCUCACCCAGUGGUGUCCACUUCGAUAUUUCAUAAAAAUUGUAAUGUGUCUUGAUUGUUGCAAAGCUCCUGCCUCUGUGACUCGUGGAUCACACAAA